UAGUCGGGAGGGCUACCUGCAGUCGAGGGGUAGAAGAAGCUUGCUUUUUUGAGACCGGCGCACGGGUGGGUAACGCGUAUGCAACCUACCUUAUACUGGGGAAUAGCCCGAAUAAAUUCGGAUUAAUGCUCCAUGGUUUAUCGAUAUGGCAUCGUAUUGAUAAUAAAGAUUUAUCGGUAUAAGAUGGGCAUGCGUAUCAUUAGCUAGUUGGUGUGUAAACGGCAUACCAAGGCGACGAUGAUUACGGGUCCUGAGAGGCAGAUCCCCCACACUGGUACUGAGACACGGACCAGACUCCUACGGGAGGCAGCAGUGAGGAAUAUUGGUCAAUGGAGGCAACUCUGAACCAGCCAUGCCGCGUGCAGGAUGACGGUCCUAUGGAUUGUAAACUGCUUUUGUACAGGAACAAACCUCCCUACGUGUAGGGACUUGACGGUACUGUAAGAAUAAGGAUCGGCUAACUCCGUGCCAGCAGCCGCGGUAAUACGGAGGAUCCGAGCGUUAUCCGGAAUUAUUGGGUUUAAAGGCCUCGUAGGGGGCUUUGUAAGGCAGUGGUGAAAUUUCCUAGCUUAACUAGGACACGGCCAUUGAUACUGCAGAGCUUGAAUAAUAUGGAAGUAACUAGAAUAUGUAGUGUAGCGACGAAAUGCUUACAUAUUACAUGGAAUACCAAUUGCGAAGGCAGGUUACUACGUAUAUAUUGACGCUGAUGAACGAAAGCGUGAGGAGCGAACAGGAUUAGAUACCCCUGCUAGUCCACGCCGUAAACGAUGUAUACUAUCUGUUCGGACUUCGGCACUGACUGGCAUAAGACGAAAGUGAAUAGUAAUCCGCAGCCUGGCCGCAGUACGGUUCGGCUAGGCAAUGCGAAAACCUUCAAAUAGCGAAAAUUGGAACG
rnacentral:rRNA from 1 species